AGACACCCCUCCCUUGUCCAAAGAUGCCCCCCCACACCCCCAGGGCCCCCUGCCACGGCCCCAGGCACCCCCUGAGGUGCCCAGGUGACCCCCCUGGCACCCACGAAGAACUCAAAGACGAUGCUGCUGUCGGGGUACAGGUACUCGAAGGUGACGGUCCCCGCCUGCUUGAGGCUCACGGCGAACAUGAGCGUGGCCGUGCACUCGUCCGUGUUUGAGGCCACGUAGUCCCCCCGGGGCACCCACGUUGACCUGGGGGGGGACACAGCCCCAGAGGGUCCUGCGGCCAUUCCAGCUCCGGAUCGUGGAACACGGACAAAAAAACUGGAGCACGGCGCGAAAAACAUUCCUGGCCCAGAUUAAAAAGCAGCCGCAGACGUGCAGCUGCUCCGCGGCGCGUCCCGGGGACGCGGUGACAGCGAGACACAGCAGCGCCAGCGGCGCCCACCGGGCUCGGGCUCCGGCUCCGGCCAUGGCGGCGGCAACGGCGGCAACGGCGGCAAC